GCCUAAUACUGCAAGUCGAACGCACAGCGAAAGGUGCUUGCACCUUUCAAGUGAGUGGCGAACGGGUGAGUAACACGUGGACAACCUGCCUCAAGGCUGGGGAUAACAUUUGGAAACAGAUGCUAAUACCGAAUAAAACUUAGUGUCGCAUGACACAAAGUUAAAAGGCGCUUCGGCGUCACCUAGAGAUGGAUCCGCGGUGCAUUAGUUAGUUGGUGGGGUAAAGGCCUACCAAGACAAUGAUGCAUAGCCGAGUUGAGAGACUGAUCGGCCACAUUGGGACUGAGACACGGCCCAAACUCCUACGGGAGGCUGCAGUAGGGAAUCUUCCACAAUGGGCGAAAGCCUGAUGGAGCAACGCCGCGUGUGUGAUGAAGGCUUUCGGGUCGUAAAGCACUGUUGUAUGGGAAGAACAGCUAGAAUAGGAAAUGAUUUUAGUUUGACGGUACCAUACCAGAAAGGGACGGCUAAAUACGUGCCAGCAGCCGCGGUAAUACGUAUGUCCCGAGCGUUAUCCGGAUUUAUUGGGCGUAAAGCGAGCGCAGACGGUUUAUUAAGUCUGAUGUGAAAGCCCGGAGCUCAACUCCGGAAUGGCAUUGGAAACUGGUUAACUUGAGUGCAGUAGAGGUAAGUGGAACUCCAUGUGUAGCGGUGGAAUGCGUAGAUAUAUGGAAGAACACCAGUGGCGAAGGCGGCUUACUGGACUGCAACUGACGUUGAGGCUCGAAAGUGUGGGUAGCAAACAGGAUUAGAUACCCUGGUAGUCCACACCGUAAACGAUGAACACUAGGUGUUAGGAGGUUUCCGCCUCUUAGUGCCGAAGCUAACGCAUUAAGUGUUCCGCCUGGGGAGUACGACCGCAAGGUUGAAACUCAAAGGAAUUGACGGGGACCCGCACAAGCGGUGGAGCAUGUGGUUUAAUUCGAAGCAACGCGAAGAACCUUACCAGGUCUUGACAUCCUUUGAAGCUUUUAGAGAUAGAAGUGUUCUCUUCGGAGACAAAGUGACAGGUGGGUGCAUGGUCGUCGUCAGCUCGUGUC
rnacentral:rRNA from 1 species